rnacentral:rRNA from 1 species
GACGGACCGUACGAACGUUAUUCGGAAUUACUGGGCUUAAAGGGUGCGUAGGCGGCUCAGAAAGUUGAAUGUGAAAGCCCUCGGCUUAACCGAGGAAUUGCAUCCAAAACUACUGGGCUUGAGUGAGACAGAGGUGAGCGGAACUCACGGUGGAGCGGUGAAAUGCGUUGAUAUCAUUUGGAACGCCAAUGGUGAAAACAGCUCGCUGGGGGUUUGCUGACGCUGAGACACGAAAGCCAGGGGAGCAAACGGG